rnacentral:lncRNA from 1 species
CCCCGAGAGGCCCAUCACACCAUUCACUCCAGCAUCCCGAUGCCAUAUGAAUUCUCACACCAACAAAGCUAAAUAUGAAGCUUUAGCAAUAGGGCUCUAAAUAGCCAGAGAACUGAGGAUACAAAACUUGAAGGCUUACAGUGACUCCUAGCUAGUCGUCGGGCACAUUCAGGACAGUUAUGAGGUCCGAGGAGAUAACAUGGUGAAAUACCUCUAGAAGAUCAGAGACUUGGUAUCUA